ACAGGUGCUGCAUGGCUGUCGUCAGCUCGUGUCGUGUAGAUGUUGGGUUAAGUCCCGCAACGAGCGCAACCCUUGUCCUUAGUUGCCAGCACGUAAUGGUGGGAACGUCUAAGGAGACUGCCGGUGACAAACCGGAGGAAGGUGGGGAUGACGUCAAGUCAUCAUGGCCCUUACGGCCAGGGCUACACACGUACUACAAUGGUGGGGACAGAGGGUCGCGAAGCCGCGAGGUGGAGCCAAUCCCAGAAACCCCAUCCUAGUCCGGAUCGGAGUCUGCAACUCGACUCCGUGAAGUCGGAAUCGCUAGUAAUCGCAGAUCAGCAUUGCUGCGGUGAAUACGUUCCCGGGCCUU
rnacentral:rRNA from 1 species